rnacentral:rRNA from 1 species
UACAGAGGGUGCGAGCGUUGUCCGGAAUCACUGGGCGUAAAGGGCGCGUAGGUGGCGACCCAAGUCUGUGGUGAAAGCUCGACGCUCAACGUCGAGUCGGCCAUAGAUACUGGGUUGCUUGAGCACUGUAGAGGCAGAUGGAAUUCCGGGUGUAGCGGUGGAAUGCGUAGAGAUCCGGAAGAACACCGGUGGCGAAGGCGGGUCUCUGGGCCGAUACUGACGCUGAGGAGCGAAAGCGUGGGGAGCGAACAGG